GCAGACAUCACAGGCUAACUGUAACCCAGCACAUCUGCUCAGAGCACAGAGUGCAAAUAUUUUGGUUACCCGCAGAGCAGGGAGAGCCCUCACGUGCCUUCAUCUCAGACUGAUCAAUGCCGUUUGGGAGGGAGCAGCCUGAAGCAUGCGCGGGGCAGUUUGGAAGUGUGGAGAAAGGAUGGGAAAACGAACAAGAAGGAACGUCAAACUGAAUUUUCCCUGCAAAGUGAUUCAGAGAAGCCAGGACCACAUCUGUUCCCUGAACCCUUUGUGAGUGUCUCCUGUCACCCUAUCCGUCUCCUCCCUCCAGUGAACACAGAACAGCAGAGUGAAAACUGAUCCUAACAAAUCCUCCUUCCGAGCGUCACUGGACUGAGUCAUAUCCAAUCAAGGUGAAAGAUGGGGACUGUACGAAUAAAGAAAACAUUUUUUUUCUAGUUUACCCAUCUUACAGCAGGCAGACUUUCAACCUUGUACCCUACAGCCCUGUCUGUAAUCUUCCUGGAUAAUGUGUAUAGAGUGGAUGACCCAGAAAUCUGGUAUUAGCUCUCUGACCUUCUCUACUGAGAUGACAACCAUCUCUGUGAUGCACCACAAAUCAAACUGUGGGGACAAGGAUCCUCGACGCUAAUAUUUCAAACUCCGAAAUUCGCUCCCUUCCUACCUCCCCCAACUUCCCUUUGGACUCUGACUUUCUGAAGCUGUUCUUUGUCUUCAGGACUCCACUUCCCUCGGAUCAUGCCUGAUUCCUCACCCGGGCCAUGACUUGCCAGCCACUUCACCAUUAGACAUACAGUGCCCUGAACUGCUCCUGUUAUUGUAAUUUGGAGGGGAUUCCCUUCAUAUUUAGUAGAUACCAUAGAAAUAGUCCCAUCUAGGGGGUCUUAAUCUCAUUAGUAAAAUGAUCUAAGAAUGGAUUCCAAUGGAAACUUAAGCUUGCGGACACCUUUAUUAACAUUGAAAGGACAACACUCAGAGCAACAAACUGUAAAUCAGCUUUCCCAGUGGAGAAUUGGUGGGGAGGGGGAGAUGUCAACACCAUGCCAUUUGAGUUAAGUCAACAUGGAAGUCAGCUGCAUGGUGGACCAGCAUGAUUUGACUGGCCACACCAUCAGGCUGUUGGGACCCCGGAUGCUUCUGACAAGAUCAAUGUGCCAGCCUCUGCACCUGGAGCCUGAUGGGGAACAGUCCCCAGAGUUCUCUUCUCUGCCCUAUAAAGCCUGCAAGGCCCCUGCUCUCUUCCAUUGUUCUGAUUAAAAGACAAUCCUCUUC